rnacentral:lncRNA from 1 species
AUGCUAAUGAGGGAGUGGGGCUUGUCCGUAUUUACGUUGAGGCGGGAGCCGCCGCCCUUCAUUCACCCACAUGGUCCUUCGAGGUGCCGCCGCCGCCGCCUGACCUGCGCCUUCGCGCCACUUCGCGCCCUCGGGCGAGGCCGAGGGGGUGGGGACGACCCCCGCCGCGCCGCCGCUGCUCGCGCGCCUCGCGAAGCCCCUCCGCGGGGCGGGCCGGCCGGCCGGCCGCACCCCCGGCCUGGGGCCUCCGGUCGUAGUAAAACGGAGGCGGGUGGGGAGGCGGGAGCGAGAGCCCGCGGCGGGCGAGGCGAAGAUGGUGGCAGCUACUCCUCCCGUCAUACACGUGGACCUAACUGCACCAAAAGCUUUUCUAAGGAUCCUUGCUGGGAAGGAAGUUUUCCUGAGUGGAGUUUCAAAUCCCCAUCUUUGCCAUCCCUAGCGGGCGGGUGGUCGUGCAGUGUACACAAUGGCCCCUCGAGGAGGGGGCUCACGAGGCAAAUAAAGGCAAACCUAUCUAAGCAGAGCAAGCCAGACUUGGGUUUUUCCUGUAGUUUGAAGAGCCCUACAGAAUGA